AUACGGAGGGGGUUAGCGUUGUUCGGAAUUACUGGGCGUAAAGCGCACGUAGGCGGACUGGAAAGUUGGGGGUGAAAUCCCGGGGCUCAACCCCGGAACUGCCUCCAAAACUUCCAAUCUAGAGAUCGAGAGAGGUGAGUGGAAUUCCAAGUGUAGAGGUGAAAUUCGUAGAUAUUUGGAGGAACACCAGUGGCGAAGGCGGCUCACUGGCUCGAUACUGACGCUGAGGUGCGAAAGCGUGGGGAGCAAACAGGAUUAGAUACCCCGUAGUCC
rnacentral:rRNA from 1 species